CGGAGAAGAGAGUGGUGCCGAGAUUGAGAGCGAGGGCUCACAGCAGGAUGACGACCACGAUAGUCAGCUGCAAGACGAGGGCU
rnacentral:ribozyme from 1 species